GGACAAAGCAUUCCUUCUUUAUGUCGAAGGGACGCAUGGAGGCCUCCAUACGCUCCCUGUCCGACUUCCUCAGGUACGAGGCAGCUGCCCCAAACACAGCCAUCUCUGCGUCCCCCAUGGCUGCACUAACAUACAGUCGCUGUCAUUGCAGUCUAUGCCGCUUACCAGUUUACCAACACCAUGUCCAACAUGGCCUCCAAGCACUGGAAAGAUCCUUCGUCCUCUCGGCGCUCUUCCCCUGGCUUGUCAAAAACCCCAGAUCUUCAAUGAAGCCCAUCUUCGAUGACCUGGCAUCCCAGCUAAAUUCCUCCCAUGCAUCAUCUUGCUAGCUCCCCUCCUGCAUCUGCAACAGUAGAACCUCAUCUUAUCCAUCCAUCCAUCCAUCCAUCCAUCCAUCCAUCCAUCCAAGAUCCAUCUCCAGCCCCAAGUCAUUAACACUUCCCAAAGGAAAUGAAUGACUGUAUACUACUGUACAAUCAUUGAUAGCUUUGUUUUAAUUAAACAGUCUGACUCCCCUGGUCUGUACUAGCUCUUAGUCAGCUGCUAGGCACCAGCCGAGGCGACUUGCUGAAGGAGCACUUAUAUGGGGCGUUAAUUGAAUGGACAUAUUAGCUUAGGUCCAUUGGGUCGUUUACUGAGGAACAUACAGUACAUCAACAGUUUACAGUGUAAUAAAUUGAAAAAGAAAAACUGGAUGUUAAUGUGUAAGGAAUUCGAGUGUGAGUUGUAAAAAGUACUGCUGUUGUGAAAAUUGUUUGCACUAUGAUAUUUAAGAUGGAAACUAAAAGAAACUUCUUGUCACUUGAGAGAAAAAUGUUCACACUGAGAAAAAUGCUGAUGUUGAAAUUUCUGACUGUUAAACUGUCCUGUAUUGUCCUUGUAUUUAUGGAAGGUGAAAGCAAAUACUUGUUAUGAUAAAUGAAACAGGCCACCAGGUAUUACUGUGUAAUAAAGUGUGUGUCAUUUCAA